GACGAACGCUGGCGGCGUGCUUAACACAUGCAAGUCGAACGGUAAGGCUCCAGCUUGCUGGGGUACACGAGUGGCGAACGGGUGAGUAACACGUGGGUGACCUGCCCUGCACUUCGGGAUAAGCCUGGGAAACUGGGUCUAAUACCGGAUAGGACUGCACCGUGAGGGUGUGGUGGAAAGUUUUUUCGGUGUGGGAUGGGCCCGCGGCCUAUCAGCUUGUUGGUGGGGUAAUGGCCUACCAAGGCGGCGACGGGUAGCCGGCCUGAGAGGGUGGACGGCCACAUUGGGACUGAGACACGGCCCAGACUCCUACGGGAGGCAGCAGUGGGGAAUAUUGCACAAUGGGCGGAAGCCUGAUGCAGCGACGCCGCGUGGGGGAUGACGGCCUUCGGGUUGUAAACUCCUUUCACCAUCGACGAAGGGUUUCUGACGGUAGAUGGAGAAGAAGCACCGGCUAACUACGUGCCAGCAGCCGCGGUAAUACGUAGGGUGCGAGCGUUGUCCGGAAUUACUGGGCGUAAAGAGCUCGUAGGUGGUUUGUCGCGUCGUCUGUGAAAUUCCGGGGCUUAACUCCGGGCGUGCAGGCGAUACGGGCAUAACUUGAGUACUGUAGGGGAGACUGGAAUUCCUGGUGUAGCGGUGAAAUGUGCAGAUAUCAGGAGGAACACCGGUGGCGAAGGCGGGUCUCUGGGCAGUAACUGACGCUGAGGAGCGAAAGCAUGGGGAGCGAACAGGAUUAGAUACCCUGGUAGUCCAUGCCGUAAACGGUGGGCGCUAGGUGUGGGUUUCCUUCCACGGGAUCCGUGCCGUAGCUAACGCAUUAAGCGCCCCGCCUGGGGAGUACGGCCGCAAGGCUAAAACUCAAAGGAAUUGACGGGGGCCCGCACAAGCGGCGGAGCAUGUGGAUUAAUUCGAUGCAACGCGAAGAACCUUACCUGGGCUUGACAUAUACAGGAUCGCGCCAGAGAUGGUGUUUCCCUUGUGGCUUGUAUACAGGUGGUGCAUGGUUGUCGUCAGCUCGCGUCGUGAGAUGUUGGGUUAAGUCCCGCAACGAGCGCAACCCUUGUCUUAUGUUGCCAGCACGUUGUGGUGGGGACUCGUAAGAAACUGCCGGGGUUAACUCGGAGGAAGGUGGGGAUGACGUCAAAUCAUCAUGCCCCUUAUGUCCAGGGCUUCACACAUGCUACAAUGGUCGGUACAGUGGGUUGCCAGUCCGUGAGGGCGAGCUAAUCCCGCAAAGCCGGUCUCAGUUCGGAUCGGGGUCUGCAACUCGACCCCGUGAAGUCGGAGUCGCUAGUAAUCGUAGAUCAGCAUGCUACGGUGAAUACGUUACCCGGGUCU
rnacentral:rRNA from 1 species